UGCCAAGCCAAAAAUCCAGCGUGCCAAACUGCUCAUUGUGCCAUGAGCUGACUCAUGAGUCGACUCAUGGAUUUCAAACAUUCAUAACUUCAAAAAUACAAGUCCAAAAAUAAUAAAAUUUUCGUCAAUAAAUCACAAAUCUUUUGUUCUACCAAAUGAUACUAUUAAAUUAGAGUUUUGGUAAAAUUAUGAUUUUGCCCCUGAAGAGCACAAAGACUUUUUCAAAAAAUAAAAAAUAUUGGUACCCCUUCAAUCUGCUUUGUAAUCAUCAAAAUCAAUCUAGGAGCAACAAUCUUUUCCUUUUUGAUGAUGACAAAACACUUGAACAAAAGCAUUUAUGUGAAUCAUGAAUUUCAAAAGGAUGCAUUAUAGGUGCAUAUGCUUGAAAAGAAUAUUGAUUCUUUUGGCAUGUGAUACAAAUGGUCAUAUGCAUAAAUAGUUUGUCCAUUUGCUUAAAGAUUUAAAAAUAUGCUCAUUGGAUUAUGUGAUUUUGGUGUUAGAGCAGAAAAUUUGUUUUUGUUAUCAG
rnacentral:lncRNA from 1 species